GCCAUGAGGGCGGGAACCCUCGUACGCGGAAGUUCAUGAGGGCGGGACCCUCGUACGCGGAAGGUCAUGAGGGCGGGACCCUCGUACGCGGAAGUUCAUGCGGGCGGGACCCUCGUACGUGGAAGGUCAUGAGGGCGGGACCCUCGUACGUGGAAGGUCAUGAGGGCGGAACCCUGGUACAUGAAAUUCGUUCUCUUAUUUAAGAGACAAAGAACGCCCUUGUUUUUUCCACCACGUGAUGGCGCAGACAGAAGACAACCAGCAUCUAUGAACCAGGAAGCCCCCACCAGGCACUGAAUCUGCCCCUGCGUGGAUCUUAGACUUGCAGACUCCAGAACUGUCCAAAUUUUGGUCUGGAGCCAGAGACAAUAUAGGAUGAAGUUUGAUUUGUUCCAAAACCCACAGAAAUCUCUAAAAUGGAAGAAUUUUCUUAGAACCAAAAGGCAUGGAAUUGAUGACAUGAAACUGCCUGAGCUUCUCAGCUGACCUGUGAUGGAGUGUUGUGCCCAAGUGGAAAGUUCUUCUUUCUUUCAGAGACAUAUCAUUCACCAUAAAAUACAACCAGAGACUUCAAAAUUACUCCAGGCUAGAAGGACACUCCAAUUAGGGGAAAAGUAACCUAUGGGCAAACCAUCUUCCGUAAGAGUUCAAGGACAAAAAACUACUGAUGUUGUAAUAACAUUGAAACUUAAUGUUUUGGGCAAUCCUUAAGUGAUUUAUUUGGAGUGUCCCAGUCAUUUUAGACCUCUUCACCUUACAAUGUAUUGUGUGAGAUUAUAUUUCCAUGCACCUAAUUUUAAAAUAAAUUUAUUUAGGUAGAUGUAGAGACAUAUUACUGUGAUAAAGCAGUUCAUACCAAAUAAAAUUUAGCUAA
rnacentral:lncRNA from 1 species